ACUAGCAUUCUCCCUGAUGCACCUAGCCACCCUAUCCCACAUACUAUCCACGUCCCCCUAUACUCCCACACCCCCAUUCCCGCCAACUUCUCUCCUAUCUCCCAUGUAUUUACUGCGUCAAGCCAUCUCACUUAAUUCUAGGUCUACACUCCUUACCCCUUCUCUUCCUAUUCUUCUUUAUACCCAAAUCCAUAACCAAGAGCCUAUGUUGGGUCGAAAGAUUCUCACUCGGGAUGACCUUACAGUCCUUACACAAUACCCUAUCCCCUUUCCUAAG
rnacentral:lncRNA from 1 species